rnacentral:rRNA from 1 species
UGGGUCAGCGACUUAUAUUCUGUAGCAAGGUUAACCGAAUAGGGGAGCCGAAGGGAAACCGAGUCUUAACUGGGCGUUAAGUUGCAGGGUAUAGACCCGAAACCCGGUGAUCUAGCCAUGGGCAGGUUGAAGGUUGGGUAACACUAACUGGAGGACCGAACCGACUAAUGUUGAAAAAUUAGCGGAUGACUUGUGGCUGGGGGUGAAAGGCCAAUCAAACCGGGAGAUAGCUGGUUCUCCCCGAAAGCUAUUUAGGUAGCGCCUCGUGAAUUCAUCUCCGGGGGUAGAGCACUGUUUCGGCAAGGGGGUCAUCCCGACUUACCAACCCGAUGCAAACUGCGAAUACCGGAGAAUGUUAUCACGGGAGACACACGGCGGGUGCUAACGUCCGUCGUGAAGAGGGAAACAACCCAGACCGCCAGCUAAGGUCCCAAAGUCAUGGUUAAGUGGGAAACGAUGUGGGAAGGCCCAGACAGCCAGGAUGUUGGCUUAGAAGCAGCCAUCAUUUAAAGAAAGCGUAAUAGCUCACUGGUCGAGUCGGCCUGCGCGGAAGAUGUAACGGGGCUAAACCAUGCAC